rnacentral:rRNA from 1 species
GCAGCAGCCGCGGUAACACGUAGGAAUCGAGCGUUAUCCGAAUUUACUGGGCGUAAAGCGCGUGCAGGCGGUUUGGUAAGUUGGAUGUGAAAGCUCCCGGCUCAACUGGGAGAGGCCGUUCAAAACUACCAGACUUGAGGACGGUAGAGGAAGGUGGAAUUCCCGGUGUAGUAGUGAAAUGCGUAGAUAUCGGGAGGAACACCAGUGGCGAAAGCGGCCUUCUGGACCGUUUCUGACGCUAAGACGCGAAAGCUAGGGGAGCGAACGGGAUUAGAAACCCCGGUAGUCCUAGCCGUAAACGAUGUAGACUGGGCGUCGGUGGGGUAAAAGCCAUCGGUGCCGAAGCUAACGCGAUAAGUCUACCGCCUGGGGACUACGGCCGCAAGGUUAAAACUCAAAGGAAUUGACGGGGGCCCGCACAAGC